rnacentral:lncRNA from 1 species
UCAAAAUUAUCAAUUUAUAGAUAAAGUGAAUUACAUAAUUACCCUUUCGUAAAUUUGAAAGGACAAAAUUUAACAAUAUAAAAAGUUCAAUCAUCAAGAACUCAAUCACUCUCAAACUUGAAAUUCAGAAGUCCAACAAGAAAGCGAAAAAUCGAACGACUAUCCGAAGAAAAAAGUGAAGAUUUGGAAAAUUGCAUUCGAAUUGUAAAAUCGUCCAGACGGACAACUUCCGUAGGACUAAACAACCGGACAGACGGAGUUUCCAUCCACCAUAGCUGGUCAGAGGGAAAGUUUGUCCAUCCGGCUAGCUACGGCGGACGGAAAGUCUAACUGAAUUUAAAACAUAAAGAACGAAUAUUACCAGAGGGAGAUGAACAGAUGGUUGUCAACAACGCCUUGAACCAAUCAAGCUCAUGUUGCAAAGAUGUAUUCGUGUGCGCGUUAUGAAUCCCU